CUGACGAUGUGCCGAAUGUGAAGCCUCUGCGGGAUCGAUGCCGAUUCCCCGCAGAGGCUUC
rnacentral:sRNA from 1 species